UGGGGAAUAUUGCACAAUGGGCGCAAGCCUGAUGCAGCAACGCCGCGUGAACGAUGAAGGUCUUCGGAUCGUAAAGUUCUGUUGCAGGGGAAGAUAAUGACGGUACCCUGUGAGGAAGCCCCGGCUAACUACGUGCCAGCAGCCGCGGUAAUACGUAGGGGGCUAGCGUUAUCCGGAUUUACUGGGCGUAAAGGGUGCGUAGGUGGUCUUUCAAGUCGGUGGUUAAAGGCUACGGCUCAACCGUAGUUAGCCUCCGAAACUGGAAGACUUGAGUGCAGGAGAGGAAAGUGGAAUUCCCAGUGUAGCGGUGAAAUGCGUAGAUAUUGGGAGGAACACAAGUAGCGAAGGCGGCUUUCUGGACUGCAACUGACACUGAGGCACGAAAGCGUGGGUAGCAAACAGG
rnacentral:rRNA from 1 species